rnacentral:rRNA from 1 species
GACGAACGCUGGCGGCGUGCUUAACACAUGCAAGUCGAGCGGUAAGGCCCUUUCGGGGGUACACGAGCGGCGAACGGGUGAGUAACACGUGGGUGACCUGCCCUUAGCUCUGGGAUAAGCCUGGGAAACUGGGUCUAAUACCGGAUAUGACUCCAUGACGCAUGUUGUGGGGUGGAAAGCCUUGUGCGGCUAGGGAUGGGCCCGCGGCCUAUCAGCUUGUUGGUGGGGUGAUGGCCUACCAAGGCGACGACGGGUAGCCGGCCUGAGAGGGCGACCGGCCACACUGGGACUGAGACACGGCCCAGACUCCUACGGGAGGCAGCAGGUGGGGAAUCUUGCGCAAUGGGCGAAAGCCUGACGCAGCGACGCCGCGUGGGGAUGACGGCCUC